CUGACUUAAUUUCAUUACAUACAAUGAAUCUAGAAAUACAUCCAUUUCUUUUAGAUUUUAGAAUUACAUUCAAAGGAGAUUUUUAAAUAUGUUUGUGAUUUGAAGGAUAUCCUUCUUCUGGGAGUCAGCCUCUGUUUAAGCCUAGAGCAGGGUUCAUGUGUCAAUACAGGUGGUGCCUGGCAGGUGAAACAUAGCCACCUGUGGGAAUGGUCCUGAGCAGAAUACAUAGGUUGAAUCAAAGCAGUGAGAGCCUCUCAACUGGUCAUGGAGUUUGCCUAGUUCAUCAGUGGGCCUAACAUCUAGAAGGCAGGGUCCCUCACUUGGUGUAGGAAGUCAUACUGCCUGGGAUUCUGGAGGAAAAUCCCUGGACCUUAUGUUGUUGUAGGAGAUCAUGCAAGUCAGGCCCCAGGACAAAGUUCAUGGGUAUCUUAUGUGGUCCUAAAGGGAAGUCAGAAUCUUUCAUCUGGUUCUGGAGUUUCUGGAACAUCAGAGGUAGCCUAAGCCUAGAACUCAGAGUCCCUCCCUUUCUGAAGGAGUCCUAGUACUUAAUUCUCAUACUAUUGUAACUUAUUCUAAAAUUGUGAAUGUACGUAAAAUAUGCAAUCAGCCAUAGUUGCCAUUUUUAGUUGAAUGGAUGGUUCAAAUCUUUGGUGACAUUGUUUUAAUUUUCAGUUUAAAAACUCCUUAUUUUACAUAAUCUCUUUCAGAUUGAUGCUAUAAGAGCAUGCUUUUGUGCAUGUUUCACCAAAAAACGGAGCUCUUCUUCCCACUACAAGAAAUAGAAGAGAAAACAUAAAAAAGUGAUGAACUUGGACAAGCCUCGACAAUUGCCUGACAACUUCUCCGACCAUCCACAAUAAGACAACUCAGGAGAAAAUCUGUCUCUUCUCCAAUAAUUGCUUCAAAAAAAAGCAUAUUUUUAUUUUAUGUUUUAGAAUAAUAUUACAUAAUCUUCAGUGUUAUUUUCACCUAUUUAUUUUGUUUUAUUAUGUUAUACUAUAUUACACUAUUAUAUUAUCUUCAGUUUUUAUUUCCAUAUGUUUAUCUUGUUUUACUAGAUUAUGUUAUAUUAUGUUAAUAUGCUAUGCUAUCUUCAGUGUUUAUUUUAUAUUUACCUUCCUUCCCUUGAUGUAAAUAGUUCAUGUAUAUGUGUAUAUAUGUAUAUAUGUAUAUAUGUUUAUAUGUAUAUAUGUUUAUGUGCUUUGUAAUAUAUUUUUAGAAGAUAUCAUUUUUGAAUGUACAAAGUUAUUGAAUAAUUAAUAAUUAAUAAUAAUUAAAUAAUAAUUUAAUUACCCAUUCAAA